UGCACAUAUCACAAUUAGAGACUGACCAGUUGCAGUCCUAACACAUCGAUGGGAAGAUUCAAACAA
rnacentral:tRNA from 1 species